ACCCUCCCUCUUCCUCCUCUUCACCCUCAUCCUUGCAUCCCUCCCGGGCCUCCUAUCCUUUCUAAGGCAGAGUUUCUGGAGGCAGUACGUCGCAGUAACCAGGCAUGCCAACGGGGGCAGUACAGCCUGGCAGUGCAGCUCUACGGCGAGGCCCUGUCUGCUGACCCUCAGAACUGCAUCCUGUACAGUAACCGCUCUGCGGCCCUUCUCCACCUGGGACAGUACCAGACCGCCCUGGACGACGCCCUCAAAGCCCGUCUGCUUAACCCCAAAUGGCCCAAGGCAUACUUCCGUCAGGGUGUGGCCCUGCAGUACCUUGGUCGCCAUGCCGACGCCCUGGCAGCGUUUGCCUCUGGUCUGGCGCAGGACCCCAAGAGUCUCCAACUUCUGGUGGGCAUGGUCGAGGCUGCCAUGAAGUCCCCACUACGAGACUCUCUGGAACCCACCUACCAGCAGCUGCAGAGGAUGAAGCUGGACAAGAGUCCAUUCGUGGUGGUGUGUGUGAUUGGUCAGGAGCUGCUGACCGCUGGUUACCACGGCGCCUCAGUGGUGGUCCUGGAGGCAGGGCUAAAGAUCGGCACAUGCUCUCUGAAGCUCCGAGGUUCAGUGUUCUCUGCUCUUAGCUCAGCCUACUGGUCGCUAGGCAACGCAGAGAAGAGCACAGGAUACAUGCAGCAAGACCUGGAGGUGGCCAAGACGCUAGGUGACCAAUCAGGCGAGUGCCGAGCUCACGGGAACCUAGGCUCUGCCUACUUCUCCAAGGUCAACUACAGGGAGGCUUUGACCAAUCACAGGCAUCAGCUGGUCCUCGCCAUGAAACUCAAGGACAGAGAGGUGUGUGUGUGUGUCGCUCCAUCGUGUACUUCUCCUUCUCUUGCUGCGUCCGCUGCGCUGAGCAGCCUUGGCCAUGUGUACACAGCGAUAGCGGACUAUCCUAAUGCCCUGGCCAGCCAUAAGCAGUGUGUGCUGUUGGCACGGCAGACCCAGUGCCUGCUAUCAGAGGCUCGCCAGCUGGGCAACAUGGGCGCUGUCUACACCGCACUGGGAGACUUCACCAACGCUAUGCAGUGUCACCAGCAACACCUGGAUAUAGCUAAGACCCUGGGUAAUGGUCCUGAGGAGGCGCGGGCGUACAGUAACCUGGGCAGUGCCCACCACAGCCAGAGAGACUUUGACAAGGCUGUGUCCUACCACACCCUGGUGCUGCAGCUGGCUCAGGAGCUGGAGGACAGGACUAUACAGAUGAGGGCUUACGCCGGCCUGGGACAUGCUGCUCGCUGCAUGCAGGACUUGGAGAGGGCAGGCCAGUACCACCAGCAGCAGCUGGACAUAGCGGAGGAGCUGCAGGACAGAGCUGCACAGGGACGAGCUUCAUCCAACCUGGGUAUAAUCCACCAGAUGAAGGGGGAGUACGAUGCAGCGUUGAAGCUCCACAAGGCCCACCUGUGUUUGGUCCAGGAGCUGGGGGACUAUGCUGCUCAGGGCAGGGCCUAUGGGAACAUGGGAAAUGCCUACAACGCUCUGAGGAUGUACGACCAAGCUGUACGCUACCACCGGCAGGAACUGCACAUAUCACUCGAGAGCGCUUUGGGGACGUACGACCAGGCUGUACGGUAUCAUAGAAAUGCCAUGACUAGAGCUGACGUGAUUCCUUAUUUUAUAUACCAAAGAGGUAUGUUUGUUCUGCAUCAUACAUUUGUAUCUGAACGUUGGCCAACGUUGUGUCCUGUGAAUGACCGUCCCUCCCAGGCCUCUACUCAUGGUAACCUGGCUGUAGCCUAUCAGGCGCUGGGUGCUCACGACCAGGCUCUCCAGUAUUAUGAGCAGGAUCUGGCCCUGGCUAAAGACCUGGGUGAUAAAUUGUCCCAGGCUAAAGCCUACUGUAACCUGGGUCUGGCCUACAAAGCCCUGGGGGAAUAUAGCAAGGCUGAGGACUGUCAGAGAUACCUGCUGUCCCUGGCUCAGGCUCUGAACAACACUCAGGCAGUGUUCCGUGCCCUGGGAAACCUGGGGGAUGUGUGUGUGUGUCGGGGUGACGUGGCCGGGGCGGUGAGGUUCUACCAGCAGCAGCUCACCCUUGCUCAGGAGGUCAAAGGACACAAGAUGGAGGCUGACGCCUACUCAGCGCUAGGCUCUGCCCACAGACUCCUCCGUCAGUACGACCUGGCCCUGUCCUUCCACCAGCAGGAGCUGUCUGCCCGCACCGCUCUAGACGACCAGCGGGGGCAGUGUGGUGCUCUGGGCCGCCUGGCAGCCGUCCACAUGGCCCUGACAGACUACCCCACAGCCUUCCAGUGUUACCAGGCCCAGCUGACCCUGGCACAGGGCCUCAGAGAUGCCUGCGUGGAGGCACAGGUCCAGGGCAACAUGGGCAUCGCCAAGAUGAACAUGGGUGUCCUGGAGGAGGCCAUUGGAUAUUUUGAGCAGCAGUUGGCCAUGCUGGAGCAGCUGAGUGGGGCUGAGUGUGUGCUGGACAGAGGCAGGGCCUACGGGAACCUAGCAGACUGUUAUGACUCUCUGGGAGACUUUGAGGAAGCUAUAAAGUACUGUGAGAUGUUUCUGACUGUGGCUCAGAGUCUCAACCAUGUUCAGGACCAGGAAAGAGCCUACAGGGGACUGGGCAACGCACACAGAUCUCUAGGUAGUCUCCAGCAGGCGUUGGUGUGUUUUGAGAAGCGUCUGGUGGUGGCCCAUGAGCUGGGUGGAUCGGGAGGUGGAGAGGGAGAAAGUGGAGGAAGGAAAGCCCAGGCCCAGGCAUAUGGGGAGCUGGGAGACCUACACAGCCAGCUGGGGAAUUAUGAACAAGCCCUAUCCUGCCUGGAGCAUCAACUUAACAUCGCCUCCACCGCAGGGGACCGAGCACUAGAGGGCGAAGCGAGCGGGGCGUUGGGUGGAGUGUACCAGCUGAUGGGAGAGAACGAGACAGCUCUACAGUGGCACCAGAGGGCAUUAGAGAUUGCGGAGGAAACAGGAAGUGUGAGGAGUCAGGGGAGGGCCUACGGGAACCUGGGGUUGACCUAUGAGGCGCUGGGAAACUACGAAAGGGCCGUGGCCUGUCAGGAGCAGCACCUGAGUGUGGCAGCGCAGAAUAAUGACCUCACAGCCAAGACACUGGCGUACGGCAGCCUGGGGAGGACACACCAUGAGCUACAGAACUACACACAGGCUGUCAUGUACCUGCAGGAAGGUCUGCGUUUAGCAGAGCAGUGUGGGAGGAGAGAGGAGGAGGCUAGGAUCCGUCAUCGUCUGGGCCUGUCACUGUGGGCCAGCAGCAACCUGGAGGAGGCCCAGAACCAGCUGUACCGAGCGUCUGCCUUGUUUGAGUCGAUUCGUCAUGAAGCCCAACUCAAUUCAGACUACAGGCUGACUCUGUUUGACCUGCAGACAUCAUCAUACCAGGCUCUCCAGAGGAUCCUCGUCAGCCUGGGUCAUUAUGACGAGGCCCUAGCAGUGGCAGAGCGGGGUCGGACCCGGGCGUUCGCCGACCUCCUGGUGGAGCGACAGCAGGGUCACCAACCCCUGACCUCUGACCCUUAUACCCCGACCCCUGACCCUUACUCCCCGGUAACCGUAGAACACAUCCUGGAUACGGUCAACAGUCAAAAGUCACUGGUGCUGUACUUCUCUCUGGCCGCAGGGUACCUCUACAGCUGGCUACUGGCACCAGGCACAGGUAUAGUGAAGUUCCACGAGGUGUACCUGGGUGAGGGAGGAUCCGAGCUGCAGGCCUCAGAGAUCCAGGGGGGAGGAGUUAGUGGCUGCCAGUCUCUGGAGCAGCACAUCACUGCAGCUAGAGAGGCUCUGGGAGUAGACAACUACUACAGCAGGUAUGUGUGUGUCUUAGGUGAGACAGAGAGCGAAGCGGGGGAUCUGUUGGAACAGCAGUUUGAGGAACGGCUGAGCUCAGCUAGCGACCCUACAGGCUACCUACGUAUGGUUUCCAGAAACAACCUCUUCAACAGGAGUUCUGGUCUGGUCAGUUCUACAGUGUCUCCAGUGAGCGAGACCUCCUCCCCCUCUCUACCCUGUAGACCCCCACCCACCCCCCUCGUCAAACCCCCCCUCCGAGCACUUCACCACCUGCUCAUUGCACCUAUGGAGGGGGUGCUGAUGCCCGGCAGUGGUGCAGUGGGCAGACACAGACAGUUGGUGUUGGUGUUAGAGGGAGAGCUGUACCUGGUUCCCUUCGCUCUGCUCAAAGGUAGCUCGUCUAAUGAGUACCUGUAUGAGAGGUUCAACCUUCUGGCUGUCCCAUCUAUAGGGAGCCUGGGGCCUGUAGCCAAGUCCUACCCUCGUCGCGGGGCCCCCUUCCUCUACAGCGGUGGGGGUUCCAUGACUGCAGUGGUAGGGGCUCCACGCCUGCCCUCCAGGGUGAUGGAGCGUUGGCUGUGGGGUCCGCUGCCCUCUGCCCACGACGAGGCCCUCCGCCUGGGGGAACUGCUGGGCUGCCAGCCCCUCACUGGAACACAGGCCACCAAGGACCGUGUGAUAGCAGCCAUGGGCCAGGCAGAGUGUGUUCACGUUGCUACUCAUGUCUCCUGGAAGCUGGCGGCCCUGGUUCUCUCCCCCAGCCAGGAUCCAGGGAUGGACUCGGGAACACGGCCCAAGGAGAGUGCACCGUGUGGGGGAUCGCUUUCAAGCGAGACUGGGGAUGUGGGAGCGAGGACUGAGGCACGGGAGGACGGGAGCGAGGACGGAGGAAGUGUGUGUGACGCAGAGAGUGUUUGUGACAGUCCACCACUUCAGGAGUUUCUGCUCACUGCGGCAGACAUACUGGACCUGAGACUGCCUGUCAAACUGGUGGUGCUGGGGUCGUACCAGGAGUGUGUUAGCAGGGUGACAGCUGACGGGGUUGUGGGUCUGACCCGUGCCUUCCUUGCGGCGGGGGUGCAGUGUGUGUGUGUGUCACUGUGGCCCGUUCCCAUGGCAGCCUCCAAGGUGUUCACACACACCUUCUACACGGCGCUGCUGAAUGGGACCAAGGCCAGUGCAGCUCUCACUGAGGCCAUGAAGACUCUACAGAGCAGCACACACUUCUCACACCCUUCUAACUGGGCGGGCUUCAUGCUGAUUGGCUGUGAUGUGAAGCUGAACAGCCCCUCGUCUCUGAUUGGCCAGGCUCUGGCAGAGAUCCUCCAAUACCCUGAGAGGGCUAGAGACUCCCUGAGAGUACUUUUGCACCUGGUUGAGAAGUCUCUCCAGCGUAUACAGAGUGGUCAGAGUAAUGCUAUGUACACCUUGCAGCAGAGUGUGGAGAACAAGGUUGGUGGUGUACCGGGAUGGCAGGCCCUGCUGUCAGCCGUGGGGUUCCGGUUAGACUGUCCCGGUACCGGCAGUGGUCUCCCCGCUGCUGUCUUCUUCCCUAUGGCCGACCCUGGAGACCGGCUGCAGCUCUGCAGCACCACUCUGCAGUCAUUACUAGGUCUGCCUCAUUCAGCAUUCCAGGCCCUUUGUAAACUGGUCAUUGCUGCUGAGACUGGAGAACAGCUAAUCAACAAGGUAGGCCUCAAUCUUCACCAGGUAUUGGUUCAGCAACAGACAUGUGACAAGGAGCAGGAGUUCUCAUUGGCUCCCAUCCAGGUGUCCAUUAGUGUCCAGCUGUGGAGACUUCCUGGUUGUCAUGAGUUCCUGGCUGCGCUGGGUUUUGACCUAUGUGAGGCAGGACAGGAGGAGGUGCUAUUGAAGACGGGUAAACAGGCUUGCAGACGGACAAUGCACUUUGCUCUGCAAUCUCUACUGGCACUGUUUGACUCCACAGAGCUCCCCAGACGCCUCAGCCUGGACAGCUCUUCAUCUCUAGAGUCUCUCUCCUCCUCCCAGUGUGCCUCCCUCCCCCUUAACCUCCCCCAGCCUCCCUUCUCGCCAACGCUUGGCGGCCCAGACAGUCUCUCAUGCGACGCCAUCUCCCUCUACAGCCUCAGCUCCCUCGCCUCCUCUCUCAGCUUCCUGUCCCGCCCCGAACCCGCAGGAAGUGAUGGCAUCAGCCAGCGUUCACGGCAGCAGGAACUGGAGCGGCACCGCGGAGGAGUCUCUCACCGACACACAGGAGGUGUGUCGAGAAACAGAUUAACGAAUCACAGAGGAGUAGGCGGAGGGACAGAGGGGGAGGAUAAGUAUGAAGGAUUCUCUAUCAUCAGCAGUGAGCCUCUGGGAGGAGGGGGAGGAGGGGGGAGGGAGUGCGCGGCAGGGAGGGGGUACCCCGUCUCGAUCUCCUCCAAGGGGAGUGUCAGCACUCCCACCUCACCGCUCAAAGUCCCCCCCUUGUCUGAAGGUCAGGUGGUCAGUACAGAGGCGGUCCUCUCUGAGUCUGACCAGUCCAGUACAGAGACAGACAGCACCGUCAAGUCCCAGGAAGACAAGCCACCCCUCACCCCUCUGGACCCCCAGGAGCUGGCCACCAGGAUCCUGGAAGAGACCCAGAGCCACAUGCAGGCUUUGGAGAGCCUCCAGAGGGGGAGGACAGGAAGGGUAGCCAGCCUACAGGCCCGGGCUUCACCUCUCUCCCUCUCCAGCCCUCUCUCACCCCUCCCUGCCACUCUCUCACCCAUCUCCACCCCUCUCUCACCCCUCCCUGCCACUCUCUCACCCAUCUCCACCCCUCUCCUCUCCACCAGGCCCAAACCCCCCUCUCGUUGCUCGUCCUUACAGAAGAUCAGCUCCGGCUACAACAGCCCGGCCCUAUCCUCCGUCUCUUCCUCCCUCUCUUUCUCUCACCCCUCACCCUCCAGAACCCCAGACCCCCACAUCCAUGCGCAGCUCAGACUUAAAUACCCCAGCUCCCCUUACACCCCCCACAUCUCACACUCCCCCAAUACCCUCUCCCUGGCCCCCUCCCCUGCCCUCUCCUACUCCUCUACAGGCUCUACCGCAUCCCGCUCCAGCCCGGCAGGCCUGGUCGACGAGAGGGUCCAGGCCAUCCACAACCUGAAAACCUUCUGGUCCAAUGCCACCCAGAGGCAGGAGGUUCCCGGCCCAGGCAGAGUGCUCCGAGAUGGGGGGAAGAAGAUGAGCACGGUCCAAAAAGAUGUCCUGGGGCUUCUCCACCUCUCUCCAAGACAUGGGUCCACCAACAAGAACCAGGACGCUGAAGGGCCCCAGAGCCCCACCAACCCGCUUAACGGACAUCGAAUGCUGGGUUCAAAACCACCAGUGGCGCCUCCUCCUCAGACUGCUACUGACUCCUCCAGGAGAGGUUGUCCUGGAGCACCCCCACACCCUGUCAAACUGCCCUCUGGGAAUGGCUUCAAGUUCCCCUCGCCUGGGAAGUUCUUCCCCUCCUCUAAAUGCUGA
rnacentral:lncRNA from 1 species